rnacentral:rRNA from 1 species
UACCUUUUGCAUCAUGAUUUAGCCAGAAAAUCUCAAGCAAAGAGCACUUUAGUUUGAUUCCCGGAAACUACGUGAGCUACUCCAAGACAGCCUAACAUAGGGCAAACCCGUCUCUGUGGCAAAAGAGUGGGAAGAGCUUUGAGUAGAGGUGACAGACCUACCGAACCUAGUUAUAGCUGGUUGCCUGAGAAAUGAAUAGAAGUUCAGCCUAUCGGAUUCUUCCCUCACCUUUAUAUUUUUUACAACAACCAAAAGAAACCGAAAGAGUUAGUCAAAGGGGGUACAGCCCCUUUGACACAAGACACAACUUUUCCAGGAGGGUAAAGAUCAUACUCAAACACCAAGGUAAGAUGUUUUGGUGGGCCUAAAAGCAGCCACCCCUACAGAAUGCGUUAAAGCUCAAACAUACCUACCACCCAUAAUCCUGACAACCCUAUCUUAACCCCCUAACCCUACCAGGCCAUCCCAUGCAAACAUGGGAGUGACCAUGCUAAUAUGAGUAAUUAGAGAGCAUUAGCCUCUCUCCCUGCACAAGU